UGGUUGCGGGGGCUGGAUUUGAACCAACGACCUUCGGGUUAUGAGCCCGACGAGCUACCAAGCUGCUCCACCCCGCG
rnacentral:tRNA from 1 species